UACAAAACAUUCCUGGGUCGGAUGACAAAUUUUGCUUAUUUUGGAAGGGUAAAAGGUCACUCCAUAAAUACUCCGUGACGAAAUUUGAAUUUAAUCAGUGGAUGACAAGAUAGCAACGAACGAAUAUUCUAAUUUGUCCUGUCUUCCCUGCAAAAAUUUAAUCUAGAGACUUAACAUCAUGCGUUGGUUCCAUGUCGCCUUGUUUACUUUUGGCUCAAUCUUGUGGAGCUGUGCACCCAUCACUUCUCUGGCAAACGUUUCGGUGGAGAUAGGAGGCCCAAGAUCAUGCACGACAAACAAGGACUGCUCAGAACCCACCAGUGAAGGCACUGUGGUCAGAGUGGGAACAAAUUGCGCAAGACGAAACCCAUUUCCUUCUUGCUGUUGGAAAAGAUGUAAAGGACACACUCUAGGUUACUGUCGUUGCAAGUUGAGUGGGUUGUUCGGCUGCGCGGGUGGGAACGACGGGGUGGAGAUCGAUAAUAGAAAUUGCUGAGAGAAAAACUAAAAUCACCCGUGGCAAAAUUUAAUCAAAAUUUAAUUUAAUCAUUUACACUCUUAGAAAUGGGGUUACGAUUGUAACCAAAAAGUAAACGAAUAUGACGCUACCGCCCUGGUUAUAAAUUUGUCAUCGAGUGGUUA